rnacentral:rRNA from 1 species
AUCAACUUUCGAUGGUAGGAUAGAGGCCUACCAUGGUGGUAACGGGUAACGGGGUGUUAGGGCACGACACCGGAGAGGGAGCCUGAGAAACGGCUACCACAUCCAAGGAUGGCAGCAGGCGCGCAAAUUACCCAAUCCCGACACGGGGAGGUAGUGACAAUAAAUAACAAUACGGGGUCCUUUCGGGUUUCGUAAUUGGAAUGAGUACAAUUUAAAUCUCUUAACGAGGAACAAUUGGAGGGCAAGUCUGGUGCCAGCAGCCGCGGUAAUUCCAGCUCCAAUAGCGUAUAUUAAAGUUGUUGCAGUUAAAAAGCUCGUAGUUGAAUUUCGGGAUUAGUACGUUGGUCGUGCCUUCGGUACGUACUGGUGUUACUGAUUCCUACCUUCUGACGAACCAUCAUGUCAUUAAUUUGGUGUGGUGGGAAAUCAGGACUGUUACUUUGAAAAAAUUAGAGUGUUUAAAGCAGGCUCGCGCUUGAAUACAUUAGCAUGGAAUAAUGAAAUAGGACGUUGACCCUAUUUUGUUGGUUUCUAGGAUUGACGUAAUGAUUAAUAGGGAUAGUUGGGGGCAUUAGUAUUCAAUUGUCAGAGGUGAAAUUCUUGGAUUUAUUGAAGACUAACUACUGCGAAAGCAUUUGCCAAGGAUGUUUUUAUUAAUCAAGAACGAAAGUUAGGGGAUCGAAGACGAUCAGAUACCGUCGUAGUCUUAACCAUAAACUAUGCCGACUAGGGAUCGGAUGAUGUUAUUUUUAAUGACUCAUUCGACGCCUUACGGGAAACCAAAGUGUUUGGGUUC